rnacentral:rRNA from 1 species
CCUUUUGUAUAAUGGGUCAGCGACUUAUAUUCUGUAGCAAGGUUAACCGAAUAGGGGAGCCGGAGGGAAACCGAGUCUUAAUUGGGCGUUAAGUUGCAGGGUAUAGACCCGAAACCCGGUGAUCUAGCCAUGGGCAGGUUGAAGGUUGGGUAACACUAACUGGAGGACCGAACCGACUAAUGUUGAAAAAUUAGCGGAUGACCUGUGGCUGGGGGUGAAAGGCCAAUCAAACCGGGAGAUAGCUGGUUCUCCCCGAAAGCUAUUUAGGUAGCGCCUCGUGAAUUCAUCUCCGGGGGUAGAGCACUGUUUCGGCUAGGGGGCCAUCCCGGCUUACCAACCCGAUGCAAACUGCGAAUACCGGAGAAUGUUAUCACGGGAGACACACGGCGGGUGCUAACGUCCGUCGUGAAGAGGGAAACAACCCAGACCGCCAGCUAAGGUCCCAAAGUCAUGGUUAAGUGGGAAACGAUGUGGGAAGGCCCAGACAGCCAGGAUGUUGGCUUAGAAGCAGCCAUCAUUUAAAGAAAGCGUAAUAGCUCACUGGUCGAGUCGGCCUGCGCGGAAGAUGUAACGGGGCUAAACCAUGCACCGAAGCUGCGGCAGCGACGCUGAUGCGUUGUUGGGUAGGGGAGCGUUCUGUAAGCCUGCGAAGGUGGCCUGUGAGGGUUGCUGGAGGUAUCAGAAGUGCGAAUGCUGACAUAAGUAACGAUAAAGCGGGUGAAAAGCCCGCUCGCCGGAAGACCAAGGGUUCCUGUCCAACGUUAAUCGGGGCAGGGUGAGUCGACCCCUAAGGCGAGGCCGAAAGGCGUAGUCGAUGGGAAACGGGUUAAUAUUCCCGUACUUGGUGUUACUGCGAAGGGGGGACGGAGAAGGCUAUGUUGGCCGGGCGACGGUU